rnacentral:tRNA from 1 species
AGUCUUAUAGUCAUUAAUGAUAUAAAAUUGCAAAUUUUAAGGAAUAUUUUAUAUAUUAAGGCUU